rnacentral:rRNA from 1 species
AACGAACGCUGGCGGCAGGCUUAACACAUGCAAGUCGAACGCCCCGCAAGGGGAGUGGCAGACGGGUGAGUAACGCGUGGGAAUCUACCCAUCCCUACGGAACAACUCCGGGAAACUGGAGCUAAUACCGUAUACGCCCUACGGGGGAAAGAUUUAUCGGGGAUGGAUGAGCCCGCGUUGGAUUAGCUAGUUGGUGGGGUAAAGGCCUACCAAGGCGACGAUCCAUAGCUGGUCUGAGAGGAUGAUCAGCCACAUUGGGACUGAGACACGGCCCAAACUCCUACGGGAGGCAGCAGUGGGGAAUAUUGGACAAUGGGCGCAAGCCUGAUCCAGCCAUGCCGCGUGAGUGAUGAAGGCCUUAGGGUUGUAAAGCUCUUUCACCGAUGAAGAUAAUGACGGUAGUCGGAGAAGAAGCCCCGGCUAACUUCGUGCCAGCAGCCGCCGUAAAAC